GCGAUUGAGGUCGCUCUCCAGCAGGCUCCUCUGCUGUCCGGCGUGCUCGAACUCGGCCUUCAGGCGGACACAUUCUUGCUCAGCAAACAGUUUUUGUUGAGCGAUCUGCUCGGCGAGCUGCCUCUGCUUCUCCAGCUCCUUCUCCGCGUUCUCUUUCUGCUUCAGGGCAGCGUCCUCCGCUUUAGCCCUCCUCUUGGCGUCUCGCUCUGCUUCCACCUUCUGGCGCUCGGCUUCGUCCUGGGCCUGACUCUUCCUCUGGGCCUCCUCCUCAGCCUGCAGCCUCAGACGGAGAGCUUCGUUGGCUUUCUGCCUCCACGUCUCCAGCUCCUGCUCUGCCUGCUGCCUGGCUCUGUCGGCUUCUUCUUGUUUCUUCCUGAGACUUUGGGCCUCCUCCUGCAGCUGGAGGACUGUCCCCUGCUCCUUCCUGAGGGACUUCUCCAGCUCUGUGGCCUUCUGGGUGAACGAGGCGGUGCUGGUUUGCAGCUGGGUGGAGGCAGACUGCUGAACGAUCUCCUCCACCUUCUGAACCUGCCUCAGCUUUUCCUCCUCCGCCUGCUUCAUGCGCCGCUCCGCCUCCUCAGCUUGCAGCUUGAACUUCUGCAGCUCUUCCAGGGACUUCUUUUUGCUCUUGACAGCCUCCUUCUCAGCUUCAGAUUUGCGUUUCAGCUCGUCUUCAGCGUUUUUCUUUUUCUGCGUCUCGUCGGCCACCUGCCUGCGGAGCCGCUCGGCCUCGUCCUGAGCCUCCUUCCUGAGCUUCUCGGCCUCGGCAGCCUUGUCUCUGAGCUGCUGGAGCUCUGUCUCGGCCGUGGCUUUCUGCUUCAUCGUGGUCUCCAACUGGAUUCGGAUUAUGCGGAUCUCCUCCUCGAUCCUGGUGCGGCUGAGCAGCGCCUCCUCCAGCUGCUGGUUCUUGGACUUGACUUCCUGCUCCGACAGGCUCCUCAGCUGCUGCAGCUCCUGCUGGAUGUUCUGCUUCUGCUUCUCGGCGUCUGCCGCCACGCCCUGCCUCUUGUUGGCGUCAUCCUUCAUCUUCAGCUUCAGCUCCUGUGCCUCCUGCUCGGCCUUGGCCACGGCCUGAGCCUGGGAUUCAGCCAGCUGCUUCUGCUUCUCCAGCUCAGCCUGGAUCUCAGACAGCUUCUUCUUCUCCUCCUCCUUCAGCGUCUCUGA
rnacentral:lncRNA from 1 species